rnacentral:piRNA from 1 species
UACAGAUCUUGAGUAUGAACGUCUCAAA